UGCCAGCCGCCGCGGUAAGACGAACCGUACGAACGUUAUUCGGAAUCACUGGGCUUAAAGCGUGCGUAGGCGGCUUGGCAAGUUGGGUGUGAAAUCCCUCGGCUCAACCGAGGAAUGGCGCUCAAAACUGCCAGACUUGAGGGAGAUAGAGGUGAGCGGAACUCAUGGUGGAGCGGUGAAAUGCGUUGAUAUCAUGAGGAACACCGGUGGCGAAAGCGGCUCACUGGGUCUUUUCUGAUGCUGAGGCACGAAAGCUAGGGGAGCGAACGGGAUUAGAUA
rnacentral:rRNA from 1 species